rnacentral:rRNA from 1 species
UGGGGAAUAUUGCACAAUGGGGGAAACCCUGAUGCAGCGACGCCGCGUGAGCGAAGAAGUAUUUCGGUAUGUAAAGCUCUAUCAGCAGGGAAGAAAAUGACGGUACCUGACUAAGAAGCCCCGGCUAACUACGUGCCAGCAGCCGCGGUAAUACGUAGGGGGCAAGCGUUAUCCGGAUUUACUGGGUGUAAAGGGAGCGUAGACGGACUGGCAAGUCUGAUGUGAAAACCCGGGGCUCAACCCCGGGACUGCAUUGGAAACUGUCAGUCUAGAGUGUCGGAGGGGUAAGUGGAAUUCCUAGUGUAGCGGUGAAAUGCGUAGAUAUUAGGAGGAACACCAGUGGCGAAGGCGGCUUGCUGGACGAUGACUGACGUUGAGGCUCGAAAGCGUGGGGAGCAAACAGGAUUAGAUACCC